rnacentral:rRNA from 2 species
UACGGCCGCAAGGCUGAAACUCAAAGGAAUUGACGGGGGCCCGCACAAGCGGUGGAGCAUGUGGUUUAAUUCGAAGCAACGCGAAGAACCUUACCAGGUCUUGACAUCCUCUGAAAACCCUAGAGAUAGGGCUUCUCCUUCGGGAGCAGAGUGACAGGUGGUGCAUGGUUGUCGUCAGCUCGUGUCGUGAGAUGUUGGGUUAAGUCCCGCAACGAGCGCAACCCUUGAUCUUAGUUGCCAUCAUUAAGUUGGGCACUCUAAGGUGACUGCCGGUGACAAACCGGAGGAAGGUGGGGAUGACGUCAAAUCAUCAUGCCCCUUAUGACCUGGGCUACACACGUGCUACAAUGGACGGUACAAAGAGCUGCAAGACCGCGAGGUGGAGCUAAUCUCAUAAAACCGUUCUCAGUUCGGAUUGUA